rnacentral:rRNA from 1 species
CCAGACUCCUACGGGAGGCAGCAGUGGGGAAUAUUGGGCAAUGGGCGCAAGCCUGACCCAGCAACGCCGCGUGAAGGAAGAAGGCUUUCGGGUUGUAAACUUCUUUUAAGAGGGAAGAGUAGAAGACGGUACCUCUUGAAUAAGCCACGGCUAACUACGUGCCAGCAGCCGCGGUAAUACGUAGGGAGCGAGCGUUGUCCGGAAUUACUGGGUGUAAAGGGAGCGUAGGCGGGGAUGCAAGUUGGGUGUCAAAACUACCGGCUCAACUGGUAGUCGCACUCAAAACUGCAGCUCUUGAGUGAAGUAGAGGCAGGCGGAAUUCCUAGUGUAGCGGUGAAAUGCGUAGAUAUUAGGAGGAACACCGGCGGCGAAGGCGGCCUGCUGGACCGUGACUGACGUUGAGGCUCGAGAGCGUGGGGAGCAAACAGGAUUAGAUACCCCCGUAAGA